rnacentral:rRNA from 1 species
AGCGAACGCUGGCGGCGUGCCUAACACAUGCAAGUCGAACGUGAAAGGGAGCACUCCCAAGUAAAGUGGCGUACGGGUGAGUAACACGUAGGUAAUCUACCCCAGAAUCUGGAAUAACCGGCCGAAAGGCUGGCUAAUACUGGAUAGAGCGACGGAAUCCGUAAUUGGGUUUUUCGGGAAAGGGAGCCUGUAAAAAGGCCUUCGUUCUGGGAUGAGCCUGCGUCCCAUCAGCUAGUUGGUGAGGUAAAAGCUUACCAAGGCAAUGACGGGUAACUGGUCUGAGAGGACGAUCAGCCACACUGGAACUGAAACACGGUCCAGACUCCUACGGGAGGCAGCAGUGGGGAAUCUUGCGCAAUGGACGAAAGUCUGACGCAGCAACGCCGCGUGAGUGAAGAAGGCCUUCGGGUUGUAAAGCUCUGUCGAGUGGGACGAAAAUGCUUGGAGUUCACAGCUCCAGGAACUGACGGUACCACUAAAGGAAGCACCGGCUAACUCCGUG